CGCGACCCCAGGUCAGGCGGGACUACCCGCUGAGUUUAAGCAUAUCA
rnacentral:rRNA from 2 species